GAUUUCUGGUUUGAUGUACCUGUCCCGCCGAAGCAAUUCGUGUGAGUGACGGAGUAUGUCUGCCAUCUUUCUGGAGAACCUAAGCUAUCCUUUACUGGACCGGUUUAGGUCAUCUAGAUCUUUUACUUUGAAAAAAUUAGAGUGUUUCAAGCAGGCGUUUUGCUAUGAAUACAUUAGCAUGGAAUAAUGAGUUAGGACUUCGGUUCUAUUUUGUUGGUUUCUAGGACUGAAGUAAUGAUUGAUAGGGAUAGUUGGGGGUGCUAGUAUUCAGCGGCCAGAGGUGAAAUUCUUGGAUUCGCUGAAGACUAACUUAUGCGAAAGCAUU
rnacentral:rRNA from 1 species